rnacentral:pre_miRNA from 1 species
UCAUAUGCAGCCUGAUCCAAAGCUCAUUGAAUUCAAUGGGGAUCUUUCAAUUGAUUUCAAUGGGCUUUGGAUCAGGUCCAUGGG